rnacentral:rRNA from 1 species
AUUGAACGCUGGCGGCAUGCCUUACACACGCAAGUCGAACGGUAACGGGCCUUCGGGUGCCGACGAGUGGCGAACGGGUGAGUAAUGCAUCGGAACGUACCUUUCAGUGGGGGAUAACGUAGCGAAAGUUACGCUAAUACCGCAUAUUCUGUGCGCAGGAAAGCAGGGGAUCGCAAGACCUUGCGCUGAUUGAGCGGCCGAUGUCAGAUUAGCUAGUUGGGGAGGUAAAGGCUCACCAAGGCGACGAGGUGUAGCGGGUCCGGGAGGAUGAUUCGCCACACUGGAACUGACACACGGUCCAGACUCCUACGGGAGGCAGCAGUGGGUAAUUGUGGACAAUGGGUGCCACCCUGAUCCCGCCAUGCCGCGUGAGUGAAGAAGGCCUUCGGGUUGUAAAGCUCUUUCGGCCGGGAAGAAAUCGCAUGGGUUAAUACCCUGUGCGGAUGACGGUACCGGCAUAAGAAGCACCGGCUAACUACGUGCCAGCAGCCGCCGUAAAAC